UAGGGAAUCUUCCACAAUGGACGCAAGUCUGAUGGAGCAACGGCCGCGUGAGUGAAGAAGGUUUUCGGACCGUAAAGCUCUGUUGUUGGUGAAGAAGGAUAGAGGUAGUAACUGGCCUUUAUUUGACGGUAAUCAACCAGAAAGUCACGGCUAACUACGUGCCAGCAGCCGCGGUAAUACGUAGGUGGCAAGCGUUGUCCGGAUUUAUUGGGCGUAAAGCGAGCGCAGGCGGAAGAAUAAGUCUGAUGUGAAAGCCCUCGGCUUAACCGAGGAAUUGCAUCGGAAACUGUUUUCUUGAGUGCAGAAGAGGAGAGUAGAACUCCAUGUGUAGCGGUGGAAUGCGUAGAUAUAUGGAAGAAUACCAGUGGCGAAGGCGGCUCUCUGGUCUGCAACUGACGCUGAGGCUCGAAAGCAUGGGUAGCGAACAGGAUUAGAUACCCUGGUAGUCCAUGCCGUAAAACGAUGAGUGCUAAGUGUUGGGAGGCUUCCGCCUCUCAGUGCUGCAGCUAACGCAUUAAGCACUCCGCCUGGGGGAGUACGACCGCAAGGUUGAAAC
rnacentral:rRNA from 1 species